GGCUAGAGGAAACUUUCCCAGAGUUCCUUCGAGCUGCCUGGGUUCCCGCGGGAGCCACAGCUGUAGCGGCGGGGAGGUAGCCAAGUACCGCUGCUGAUUGGGUGAGGAGUGGGCAGAGUACAGGAACACCACCAGUAGGCGUCAGACCUCGGCAGUGGGAGGCCCAGCGCACCGCAGCCCCGCACUCAUCCCUACAGCAGACGUGAGCCGGACAGGCUGCGGGAAAAAGAGCUCGGCCGGUGAAAGCAGGUCACGGUCCGGCCUGGCUUCCUCCGGAGCUACCCCUGUCUCGGCAGAGUUCAGGGUCGGGGUCAGGCCGCUCGUGUUUCUCUGUAGCGCUUCACGGCUAGGCGGUAGAGCACCACACCCCACAUCCUGACCUUUUCGGCCUGCAAUCACUUCCGUGCAAGGGGAAGCUCCAGAACAACAGAUGCACCCUCGUACCGAGCUGCUUGGGUUGUUGUUGCCAAGGGCUCCGCCUAGACUACUGCGCGCGUCUGGAACGCCCCAACAGAGUGGCCCACAAGCGUGCUUACCGCCGACUGUCCUGUCCCCUUGAGGAGUCACCACCCUAUACUGGAAAUCGCGGCUCCUCCCCACAUCCAGAACAAGUGGCUUGAGGGUGUUGGGGGCGGCUGCUCUCUCGUUGCCCAAUCGGGCCGGGCCUCGGCACCGGCACCUCGUCGCGGAGGAAGGUUACGAUCAGAAAGUGGAAUCUCUUGUCACUUCUCAGUUUCGCCCAGCCUAUGGUAGUGGGGCCCCAGCUGAGGAGGACUGGUGCUCGGGGUCCCUCCCACUCGUCCCGGGCCAACGGUGAUGGCCGGGCCCGGGGAUCCGCGGCGACUCUGCAGGCUGGUGCAAGAGGGCCAGCUGCUUGCCCUGCAGGCGGAGCUGCAGGAGGCUAGAGGCUACCAAGGACCGGCCGGGGACACCCUCCUCCACUGUGCAGCCCGUCACGGGCGCCUGGACAUCCUAGCCUAUUUGGCCGAAGCCUGGGGCAUGGACAUUGAGGCCGCGAACCGAGACUACAAGAGGCCUCUACACGAGGCUGCCUCCAUGGGCCACCGGGACUGCGUGCGCUACCUGCUGGCCCGAGGGGCAGCUGUGGAUAGCCUGAAGAAAGCCGACUGGACUCCUCUGAUGAUGGCUUGCACAAGGAAGAAUCUUGAGGUGAUCCAGGACCUUGUAGAACACGGAGCCAAUCCACUCCUGAAGAACAAAGAUGGUUGGAACAGUUUUCAUAUUGCCAGUAGAGAAGGUGACCCUCUGAUCCUUCAGUAUCUGCUCACUGUUUGCCCGGAUGCAUGGAAGACAGAGAGCAAAAUUAGAAGAACUCCUCUGCACACUGCAGCAAUGCAUGGCUGUUUAGAAGCAGUAAAGGUGCUUCUUGAGAGGUGUCAGUAUGAACCAGACUGCAAAGACAGCUGUGGUGUCACCCCCUUUAUGGAUGCAAUUCAGUGUGGACACAUCGACAUAGCCAGACUGCUCCUCAAAAAGCAUGAGGCUUGCUUUUUAGCUGAGGAUAGCCUGGGGGCUCAGGCUCUGCACAGGGCAGCAGUCACUGGGCAAGACGCAGCCAUCCGAUUCCUGGUGUCUGAUCUUGGUGUUGAUGUAGAUACAAGAGCAACAACAACCCACCUCACAGCACUUCAUUUUGCAGCUAAGGAAGGACAUAUAAGCACGAUUCAGACUCUCUUGUUCUUGGGUGCUGACAUCAACGCUAAAGAUGAAAGAAAUCGAUCAGCCCUGCAUCUGGCCUGUGCGGGUCAGCACUUGGUUUGUGCGGAGUUUCUCUUGCAGUCAGGGCUGAAGGAUUCUGCCGACAUAACGGGAACCCUGGCCCAGCAGCUCAUGAAGACAGCAGGUGUCCUUCAGGGCUUUGAUUACAGUGAGGUGGCAUAAGGAUGUUUCUAAAAGGAGACAAUAAAAGCUCUCGGCCACUCGGCUAAGACCCACUUCCAUGAGGGCUGUCGACUCGUUCUCAAAGCACACCUUCCCCAUGAUUUGCAAGACAAAAACCUGGAAAGAAGUUGGCAGUGAGCUGCUGAAUUCUACUGGAGCUGCAGUACUGAGAUCUGCAACUCACCACUCAGUGGUAAUGGAGAAGAAUCAGGCUUUCUGGGCUGCAAAGGCCUGCAGCUUACACAGACUCCACCAGCCAACAGAAGCAGAGAAUCAAGUUUCAUCACAAACUCCAGUUUUAAGGGGAGACAGCCUGUAGACCUCAGACUGGUGGUUAUAUACCAGGUGGUGAUUAGUGUGAAGAGAAUAAAGUAGAGAAGGGGCAGGAAGAGCCAAGGGUUGGUUCUCUGAGCAGAAAACAUUGUUAGCUGUGAGAAAACAUUCCACACAGAGCCAACAGUGGCUGUGUGUUGGAGAAAAGGGAAGGAAGCCAGCAUGGCAGAAAUGAGUAAGCAGGGAGCAAGUGGCUGGGGCUGAGGUCAGGGCUGGACUGCAAAGGCCCUUUUGGACUGUUUUCCUCUGGGAAGAGGGAGGAAGCCAUUUUGGGGUUUUGAGUAGAGGAAUGAUUAAAUCUGACCUGGGUGGUU